rnacentral:lncRNA from 1 species
CCGAGUCCUCUUGCGGGUCCCUCAAAGAUCCAAGAUCCACGCUGUUAGCCAGCUUGAUGUCGUCCUCUGUUCUUCUCCUGAUGAACACUGGCUUUCCACGCCACUUCACUGUCACAGUAGUUCCAGGCUCGAUGCUACCGAGGUCGACCUCGAGGGAUGCAAGUGCAAGGACAUCUUUACUCGCGGACAUGCUGACAAUGAGCUUCAGGACAAGAAGGCGGAGAACAGAGGCGUAAACAAACCUCCCACCAGACAAGACGAAAUAGGCGAAGGCACGCUUGCUAGGGUCACCAGGUGGGUAACGCUCAUGGUUGUGGUCAUCGUACACAAUCUUCGAGUUAGGUGUCUUGACAGCCUCAACAGUGGCAGGUUCAGAACCAAAACCAACCUCGUUUCCUUGAGUAAGGACUUGAGAAGAAAAACCUGAUAAUAGCAUGAAAAAACAUUAAUAUGUUCACAUCAAAGCAAACUUUUUUUCAAUCACCACAAUCAAUAUGUGACCUUUAACGAGUGCAUGCCGUAUAAGAAUAAUGCAGGAACAUGAGAGACUAAUUGAAACACAUACUAUACAACAACAUCAAAUUCAUUACCCUAAUCAACUGAAAAUCAAAAAUUACAAAUUCAAUAAGCAUAUGAAAGAAACGCUUAAAACUCCAAAGCUAAAAUCGCAAAAAAUAGCUCUUUUGGUGAACAAAAAGUUCCUCAGCAUGCCCUAUUAAACUGCUAUAAAAUACCCCAAACCAAGUAUGCAGCUAGAACAUCCAUCUCCGUAAUAAUGAAGAAAACACAAAGACCAAAACUUUAGAGACCAAGAACCAAUCACAUUAUGAAUAACCCUCAGCUAAAUAUUGUAGAAAAGAAGACCUAAAGAUCCAUCGAAACAAACACUCUACAACAAUACCAAAUUCAGUGAAAACUAAACUACUCUAGAACAUCCAUCUCCCUAAUAAUGAAGAAACAAAAGGAUACACAAAGAUCAAAACUUUAUAGAGUCCAAGAAGCCAAUCAGCCUAUCGUGAAGCUUCUCUCAUCAAAGGAAGGAUAAUCUCAGAACUAAUCAAUCAACUCAAAAUGUUUAUUUCUUGCUGCACGAAAGAAGCAAUCAUACAAGGCAAAGCUAUUCCGGUAAGGAGUAGAAUGAAAGGAAAUGGUACAUCAAUCAAGCUCUAGUACACGGUCCUAGAUUCAUGGAAACCAAACACAACACGUAGAUACGAUAGUAAGAAUCUCAAUCAUUACGGGACUCAAUACAAACAAAACAAACAAAAAAAACGAAUUUUUACAUCAUUCAAUCAAUCAAUCAACACCUGAAAUGAAAAUUUAAAUCAAUCCAGAUGAAGAGAGAGGCUUGUAGAUCUGCAGACCUCUUAUGAGACUCCUGUGGUAAGAAUCGAAACGUGAGAGAUCGGUAGAGGGGACGGAUCUGGGAGGUGAAGAGGAGGAGCCGCCGCCAUCGGAGAGGGUAUGGUCUCGGGAAAGGGCGAAGGAGGAAACGGUGGAAGAUCUCUGCGAAAGAGAAAAGAGCCUCCUUCCUGCUACUCGCAGCAUCUCUGCUCAAUGGGGAAUCUAGGGUUUCGAGAACAGAGUAGUCCUGAGGUUAGGGACGGCCAAUGCAACAGAGCGAAGAGUCUUCCCGUAAAAUUAGUCUUCUAGGAAAGAAAAGGUCAAAGCUUUUUAAUAUUUAUUCAUCCUGAAUAAAAUAUGUUUUUUCAGUUUGAUCUUUGAUGAGAGAUUUUGUUGUUUUACAAAUAUAAUUGUUGUUUAAUUAUAUUUUCGAUACAUUUAAAAAAAAAAAAUUCUUUAGGAUAGUCAAUUAGUCAUUUUUAUGUUUCUGUCACAAAUUAAGAAAAAAAUGACCAAUUUUUUUUUAUUAAAAGGUAAAAAUAUAUUUAUAUCCUAAGACUAAUUAAUUUAGACUUAAAGUUUAGAACUAAAGGAUUGGUUUUGAGCAUAGUGUUUUAAAUUUUAAAAAGUAAAACAGAAAUAUUAAAAAUUUUAAAAUAAAAAUGAAUUAUUUUGGUCAUUUUUUUCUUUGAACGUUAUUUUUGUGACAAAAACUUUAAAUGACUAUUUGAGAGAAUUGAAUUUUUUAACCUGACAAAAAUAUAUAUAUACUGUACACACAUAUUCAUCCAUAUCAAUUUGAGAACAAUGGUGUAUUUUAAAAAUCAAACCCAAACUUUAUUAAGAAGAGGAUCUUGUCUGCAAUGACAAUAACUAAUGAAUAAAAUGUAUUUGGCUUGCCAAAUUAAAAAAAAAAAUCCAAUUAAGCUAUUCAAAAUACAAAACUGUUUUCAAACAAUAAACACAUACAUCGUUUCAUUCACCAGAUGGGACAGAUGCUAAGUCAUACAAUGACAAGUUUGUAUUAUUCAGUAAAACCAAGCACAAUCGUUUACUUGCUGAGAAGACCAAAGUGUGAGGAAAGCGUACUUGCACUUAGCCAGAAAGUAUAUAUAAAAGAAAAACAAAAAAACAAAUGAGGAUCUUUGAGACACAAACACUGUCUGACGUGCGUUUAUUCAUCAACCAAUGAGUAACUUGUUCUCUUCCAAGAAGCUGUAAGUUGGUACUUCCAAGUUGUAAGGUGCAGGACCUUUCCUGAUCCUUCCAGAGAUGUCGUAAUGCGAACCGUGACACGGGCAAAACCAGCCACCAUAGUCACCAGCAUUAGGCAAAGGGAUGCACCCCAAAUGAGUGCAGACCCCAACCACCACCAACCAUUCCGGAUUCUUCACCCUCACGGAGUCCUCUUGCGGGUCUCUCAGAGAUCCAAGAUCCACACUGUUAGCCAGCUUGAUGUCAUCUUCCGUUCUACGUCUAAUAAAGACAGGCUUUCCACGCCACUUCACUGUCACAGUAGUUCCCGGCUCGAUGCUCCCAAGGUCGACCUCGAGGGAUGCAAGGGCAAGGACAUCUUUACUCGCGGACAUGCUGACAAUGAGCUUCAGGACAAGAAGGCGGAGAACAGAGGCGUAGACAAACCUCCCACCAGACAGGACGAAAUAGGCGAAGGCACGCUUGCUAGGGUCACCAGGUGGGUAACGCUCAUGGUUGUGGUCAUCAUACACAAUCUUUGAGUUAGGUGUCUUGACAGCCUCAACGGUGGCUGGGACUUCAGAAGCAAAACCUAUCUCGUUUCCUUGAGUAAUGACUUGAGAAGAGAAACCUGAUAAUAGCAUGAACAACAUUAAUAUAUUAUUUCACAUAAAGGCAAAAACUUUACUUACCGGUCAAGUGUUCUACAACAAUAGUAUUAAGUAACAA